AGCCUUUAGCUUAACAAGUAUUAAAGGUCCAGCCUGCCCAGUGACCCGUUUAACGGCCGCGGUAUCCUAACCGUGCAAAGGUAGCAUAAUCACUUGUCCCCUAAAUAGGGACUAGUAUGAACGGCUAAAUGAGGAUCACACUGUCUCUUGUAGUUAACCUAUGAAACUGAUCUUGUAGUCCAAAAGCUACAAUAAAAACACCAGACGAGAAGACCCUGUGGAGCUUCAAAACCAAAACCAAACUAAUGACCCUUUGGUUUUCAGUUGGGGCAACUUCGGAGUAAAUAUUAACCUCCGAUAAAACAAGUUAAGACAAACAAGUCAAAACAAUUUUCUUGACCCAAUGGUCACACCAAGACUAUUUGAUCAAUGAACCAAGUUACCCCAGGGAUAACAGCGCUAUCCCCUUUUAGAGUCCCUAUCGACAAGGGGGCUUACGACCUCGAUGUUGGAUCAGGACACCCCAAUAAUGCAGCCGUUAUUAAAGGUUCGUUUGUUCAACGAUUAAAGUCCU
rnacentral:rRNA from 1 species